AUUGAACUCUGGCGGCAGGCCUAACACAUGCAAGUCGAACGAGUGGCGGACGGGUGAGUAAUAUCUGGGACACUGCCCGAUGGAGGGGGAUAACUACUGGAAAAGGUAGCUAAUACCGCCUACCAUCGGAUGUGCCCCGAUGGGAUUAGCUAGUAGGUGGGGUAAAGGGUCACCUAGGCGAAGAUCCCUAGCUGGUCUGCGAGGAUGACCAGCCACACUGGAACUGAGACACGGUCCAGACUCCUACGGGAGGCAGCAGUGGGGAAUAUUGCACAAUGGGCGCAAGCCUGAUGCAGCCAUGCCGCGUGUAUGAAGAAGGCCUUCGGGUUGUAAAGUACUUUCAGCGAGGAGGCGUUACUCGCAGAAGAAGCACCGGCUAACUCCGUGCCAGCAGCCGCGGUAAUAC
rnacentral:rRNA from 1 species